CCAGCUCAAAAGCCACGAAUGCUCAUCACACACAGGAUCGCUCCAUGCGUCCAAAUUCCUGAGCGGGCUAAGGUCUGAGCAUUCUAGUCCCCCUCGAUCGGCUCUAGCAGGGUCCAGCUGUAAUCAGCUGCGCGACGUACCAGAAAAGCAGCUUCGUUUCUCAUGGUCCCGAAGAUUCUGUUCAUCGCAGAGGAGGGUGAGCACAAAGGCUUUGAAAACGUUGCGGGGAUCGGGCGACCUCGUACCUGUCGUUUUGUCGUCGCUAUCGUGCGUGCGUCUAUGAAGAAGGCGCUCAUGAUUACUUAAGCGUUGUGUCGGCGGAAUGAGUCGCUCCCGCACUGGUGCACCAGCAUGUGCUUGUUGCAGCCAGGGUCUUCAUGGAAUGCCGCAAGGCGUGAGGCUAACUACCUCUUUGCUUACGAGGCGAUACUGCGAUGGGACUGGGUUUGUCCUUGAGUUCACUUUCGUGGCUCACGUAUCUUUUGUGGAUCGUGAAACUCGAUUCAGACUACUCUCGGGCUGG
rnacentral:RNase_P_RNA from 2 species